CUACGGGGUGCAGCAGUCAGGUAUUUUUUGCAAUGCGCGCAAGCGUGACAAAGCGAGCCAGAGUGUUUCUCAAUUUUGAGAGACUUUUGUUAGCUGUAAAAAGGCUGACGAAUAAGGACUGGGCAAGACUGGUGCCAGCCGCCGCGGUAAUACCAGCGGUCCAAGUCACAGCCACAUUUAUUGGGUCUAAAACAUCCGUAGCUUGUUUUGUAAGUCUCUUGUGAAAUCCUAUUUCUCAAGAAUAGGGCGGGCAAGAGAUACUGCAAGGCUAGAGACCGGAGGAUGCGAAGAGUACGGCAAAGGUAGUGGUAAAAUACGUUAAUCUUUGCUGGACUAACAAGAGCGAAGGCACUUCGCAACGACGGUUCUGACAGUGAGGGAUGAAGGCUAGGGGCGCAAAACGGAUUAGAUACCCCCGUAGUC
rnacentral:rRNA from 1 species